rnacentral:rRNA from 1 species
GCCAGACUCCUACGGGAGGCAGCAGUGGGGAAUAUUGCACAAUGGGGGGAACCCUGGUGCAGCGACGCCGCGUGGGUGAAGGAGUACUUCGGUACGUAAAGCCCUAUCAGCAGGAAAGAAAAUGACGGUACCUGACUAAGAAGCCCCGGCUAACUACGUGCCAGCAGCCGCGGUAAUACGUAGGGGGCAAGCGUUAUCCGGAUUCACUGGGUGUAAAGGGAGCGUAGACGGCGACGCAAGUCUGGAGUGAAAGCCCGGGGCCCAACCCCGGGACUGCUCUGGAAACUGCGUCGCUGGAGUACGGGAGGGGCAGGCGGAAUUCCUGGUGUAGCGGUGAAAUGCGUAGAUAUCAGGAGGAACACCAGUGGCGAAGGCGGCCUACUGGACGGUGACUGACGCUGAGGCUCGAAAGCGUGGGGAGCAAACAGGAUUAGAUACCCCUGUAGUA